GAGUUUGAUCAUGGCUCAGAACGAAUGCUGGCGGCGUGCUUAACACAUGCAAGUCGAACGGACUCUUCGGAGUUAGUGGCGGACGGGUGAGUAAUACAUAGGUAAUCUGCCUUAAAGUGGGGGAUAACACUCCGAAAGGAAUGCUAAUACCGCAUAAUGUUCUUGGUUGAAAUAUCGAGAAAGAAAGCAGCAAUGCGCUAAUAGAGGAGCCUAUGGUCGAUUAGCUAGUUGGUGGGGUAAAGGCCUACCAAGGCGACGAUCGAUAGCUGGUCUGAGAGGACGAUCAGCCACACUGGGACUGAGACACGGCCCAGACUUCUACGGAAGGCAGCAGUGGGGAAUUUUCCGCAAUGGGCGAAAGCCUGACGGAGCGACGCCGCGUGGGUGAAGAAAUCUUUCGGGAUGUAAAGCCUGUCAGAGGGGACGAAUAAAUGACGGUACCCUCAGAGGAAGCAUCGGCUAACUACGUGCCAG
rnacentral:rRNA from 1 species